AAUAAGCUAUUUAAGAGCGUAAGGUGGAUGCCUUGGCUCUCAGAGGCGAUGAAGGACGUGACAAGCUGCGAUAAGCUACGGGGAUUGGCACACACAAUUUGAUCCGUAGAUUUCCGAAUGGGGCAACCCACUAUAUUGAAGAUAUAGUAUCCGUUAAGGAAGCAAACCCAGGGAACUGAAACAUCUAAGUACCUGGAGGAAUAGAAAACAAAAGUGAUUCCGCUAGUAGUGGCGAGCGAACGCGGAACAGCCCAAACCAAAAUUGUUUCGGCAAUUUUGGGGUUGUAGGACCACGACAUUGAAUGUUUAAUGAAUUA
rnacentral:rRNA from 1 species